rnacentral:rRNA from 1 species
UAGCAUAAUCAUUAGUUUUUUAAUUGAAAACUGGAAUGAAAGGUUAAAUAAAAAAUAAUCUUUAUUAAAAUUAAAAUAUUUGAAUUUGUUUUUUUAGUAAAAAAACUAAAAUAUAUAAAAAAGACGAUAAGACCCUAUAAAGCUUUAUAAUAUAAAAAUUAAUAAUUUAUUAGAUUAUUAAAAUAGUUUUUUUUUUGUUAUUUAAUUGGGGUGAUUUAAAGAUUUAAUAAACUCUUUAGUUAAAAAUUAUUUCAUAUUUAAAUGUUUUUUGAUCCUUAAUAUUUCGAGAUUAUAAGAAUAAGUUACUUUAGGGAUAACAGCGUAAUUUUUUUGAAGAGUUCUAAUCGAUAAAAAAGAUUGCGACCUCGAUGUUGAAUUAAGAUAAAAAUUAGGUGUAGAAGUUUAAUUUUU